AAACACAACAAAGGCUGUCAGCUGAAUGGUGUUUUGAGCUAACGUUAGCAUCGAACAAUCACAGAUAGCUACAGCGUUUCUGAAAUGAUUUCCAUCUUCUGUUGUUGUUUGUAAUGAGAAAACUGGAUUAUUUCAUGGAUUUCACUAUUUUUCAGUAUGACACGUUAUGCCGUAAACCGCUUAAAUCUGAGCAAUGCACGACUCACACUGGGCAGUGUCACCGGGUAUCGCCACUGAUUUCCUGAAUCCAUUCAAGUCCGACUGACAAGAUGCCAGUAUGAUUUCUGAUUUGAUUAGAGAUAUUUCAGUUACAAUACCAGCUUUGCUUGUUUAUGAAAGAGAGUUUUUAGAGAGCUAACGCUGUGAUUUGUACAGAAGAAAACCGCUAACGUGGCGCUUUGUUUAAAGAUCAAUGUUGGGAUUGUGUGAAUGGAUAUCGGAUCAUUCUGACAAAGAUCUAUUUAAAUUCCAGUCCUACUUUAGUGAUGUCAUCUAAACUGAAAUGAGGUGUCCGUUACGUGUUUGGAAAGACAGACUUGCACACAGCCAUAAGAUUGUACAACUG